GCUACGGGGCGCAGCAGUGAGGAAUAUUGGUCAAUGGGCGAGAGCCUGAACCAGCCAAGUCGCGUGAAGGAUGACGGCCCUACGGGUUGUAAACUUCUUUUGUCAGGGAGCAAUUGAGUCCACGUGUGGGCUUAGCGAGAGUACCUGAAGAAAAAGCAUCGGCUAACUCCGUGCCAACAGCCGCGGUAAUACGGGGGAUGCGAGCGUUAUCCGGAUUUAUUGGGUUUAAAGGGUGCGUAGGCGGAAUAUCAAGUCAGCGGUAAAAAUUCGGGGCUCAACCCCGUCGUGCCGUUGAAACUGAUGUUCUGGAGUGAGCGAGAAGUAUGCGGAAUGCGUGGUGUAGCGGUGAAAUGCAUAGAUAGCACGAAGAACUCCGAUUGCGAAGGCAGCAUACCGGCGCUCAACUGACGCUCAUGCACGAAAGCGUGGGUAUCGAACAGGAUUAGAUACCCCUGUAGUC
rnacentral:rRNA from 1 species